CAGUAAUACAGUCAGUUUGAAGAAAACUUAAAUAAGUGAACACACAGAAACCCCAAAAAAAAAAAAAAAAAAA